rnacentral:rRNA from 1 species
UACAGAGGUCUCAAGCGUUGUUCGGAUUCAUUGGGCGUAAAGGGUGCGUAGGCGGCGCGGUAAGUCGGGUGUGAAAUCUCGGAGCUUGACUCCGAAACUGCAUUCGAUACUGCCGUGCUUGAGGACUGGAGAGGAGACUGGAAUUUACGGUGUAGCGGUGAAAUGCGUAGAUAUCGGGAGGAACACCUGUGGCGAAAGCGGCGCACUGGACCACAUCUGACGCUGAGGCGCGAAAGCUAGGGGAGCAAACAGG